rnacentral:sRNA from 1 species
UAUCUCUCCAUACGGGGAAGGAUGAGAAGCUUCGACUAAGGUUCGAUUCGAGCGCAGCGAGA